UUUAGAGAUGGGGUCUUCCUAUGUUGCCCAGGCUGGCCUUGAACUCCUGGACUCAAGUGGUCUUCCUGCUUCAGCCUCCUGAGUAGCUAGGAUUACAGAUGUGUACUAAUGCUCCUGGCUAGAAGUUUAGAUUUUAAUUUAAACUCUUCUAUUGGGAAACUUUGUAUGUUGGCUUUCCACUUACGUUUGCAUGCAUUAUUGUACCUUUUGUCUCCUGCUUAAGGAAGGGGCAGUUUAUGCUUCUCUAUGAAGUUGAUUAGCCCACUGUGGUACUUCAUUUUCUCUAUGUUAAAAGUAUGUUCCAGAUUUUUGAAAAAAUUAUUUAAUUUUCAUUCAUUUAUUCAACAAAUAUUUGAGUUCUGUAGUUGCUGGGGAAGUACCAGUGGACUGAAAAAUAUCUUUGUUCUUAUGGGGCCUAAGACCCUAGCUGAUCAUAGUGGAAGGAGAUGUAUGAAAAAAGCAAUAUAUGACCAGUGGAGGGUGAUGAGUACCAUAAAGGAGAAUUCAGCAGGGGAGAUGUUCCUGUUUUAGAUAGAGGGGUGUCAAGGGACAUUGUGCAGAGAGGGAGCAAGCCAUGCGGCUAUCUAGGGGAAGAGGCUAUCAGGUGGUGAGAAGAGUCCUAGGGCAGAUACGGGCAAGGUGUGUUCCAGGAGCAGGGAAGGGACAGCUGUGAGCAAGGGGAGAACUGUAGGGGAGGAGGCAGAGAGAGGCAUCUGGGGCAAGAUGGACUGCCUGGUGGGCCGUCGUAGGACUUUGGAUUUUUUCCUGAGCGGGUUUUGAGCAGGGAAAUGAAAUGAUCUGACUCUGU